rnacentral:rRNA from 1 species
UACGUAGGUGACAAGCGUUGUCCGGAUUUACUGGGCGUAAAGAGCGCGCAGGCGGUCGUUCAAGUAGAGUGUGAAAGCCCCCGGCUCAACUGGGGAGGGUCAUUCGAUACUGAUCGACUCGAAGGCAGGAGAGGGUAGUGGAAUUCCCGGUGUAGUGGUGAAAUGCGUAGAUAUCGGGAGGAACACCAGUGGCGAAGGCGACUACCUGGCCUGUUCUUGACGCUGAGGCGCGAAAGCUAGGGGAGCAAACGGG